GACGAACGCUGGCGGCGUGCUUAACACAUGCAAGUCGAGCGGUAAGGCCCUUUCGGGGGUACACGAGCGGCGAACGGGUGAGUAACACGUGGGUGACCUGCCCUCAGCUCUGGGAUAAGCCUGGGAAACCGGGGUCUAAUACCGGAUAUGACUCCAUGACGCAUGUUGUGGGGUGGAAAGCCUUGUGCGGCUGAGGAUGGGCCCGCGGCCUAUCAGCUUGUUGGUGGGGUGAUGGCCUACCAAGGCGACGACGGGUAGCCGGCCUGAGAGGGCGACCGGCCACACUGGGACUGAGACACGGCCCAGACUCCUACGGGAGGCAGCAGUGGGGAAUCUUGCGCAAUGGGCGAAAGCCUGACGCAGCGACGCCGCGUGAGGGAUGACGGCCUCGG
rnacentral:rRNA from 1 species